rnacentral:rRNA from 1 species
AGCAUAUCAAUAAGCGGAGGAAAAGAAACUAACCCAGGAUUCCCCUAGUAACGGCGAGUGAAGAGGGAAAAGCCCAAAUUUGUAAUCUGGCUCUUUCAGAGUCCGAGUUGUAAUUUUAAGAACUGUUUUCCGUGCUGGACCAUUUCUAAGUCUGUUGAAAAAUAGCAUCAUUGAGGGUGAUAAUCCCGUUCAUGAUAUGGACUACCAGUGCAAUGUGAUACAGUUUCUAAGAGUCGAGUUGUUUGGGAAUGCAGCUCAAAGUGGGUGGUAAAUUCCAUCUAAGGCUAAAUAUAGGUGAGAGACCGAUAGCAUACAAGUACCGUGAGGGAAAGAUGAAAAGAACUUUGGAAAGAGAGUUAACAGUACGUGAAAUUGUUGUAAGAGAAACAAUUAAAGUUAGCCUUGUGCUUGUUAGUUCAGCUCUUUAACUAGGGUGUAUUCUAAUGAUGUCACGGACCAACAUCAGUUUUUGGGUGCUGGAUAAGGGCUUCAGAAAUGUAGCAGUUUCGGCUGUGUUAUAGUCUGGGGUUUGGAUACAGUGCUUGGGACUGAGGAUAUCUGCAGCAAGCCAGUCAAAUGGCCGCCCUUUUUAAGGGCUCCCCUGCUGAGGAUGUUGGUGUCAAUAGCUUUAAAUGACGCGUCUUGAAACACGGA